GAUGAACGCUAGCGGCAGGCCUAACACAUGCAAGUCGAGGGGCAUCACGAGGUAGCAAUACUUUGGUGGCGACCGGCGCACGGGUGCGUAACGCGUAUGUAACCUACCUAUAACAGGGGCAUAACACUGAGAAAUUGGUACUAAUUCCCCAUAAUAUUCGGAGAGGCAUCUCUCCGGGUUGAAAACUCCGGUGGUUAUAGAUGGACAUGCGUUGUAUUAGCUAGUUGGUGAGGUAACGGCUCACCAAGGCAACGAUACAUAGGGGGACUGAGAGGUUAACCCCCCACACUGGUACUGAGACACGGACCAGACUCCUACGGGAGGCAGCAGUGAGGAAUAUUGGUCAAUGGACGCAAGUCUGAACCAGCCAUGCCGCGUGCAGGAAGACGGCUCUAUGAGUUGUAAACUGCUUUUGUACGAGGGUAAACUCACCUACGUGUAGGUGACUGAAAGUAUCGUACGAAUAAGGAUCGGCUAACUCCGUGCCAGCAGCCGCGGUAAUACGGAGGAUUCAAGCGUUAUCCGGAUUUAUUGGGUUUAAAGGGUGCGUAGGCGGUUUGAUAAGUUAGAGGUGAAAUCCCGGGGCUUAACUCCGGAACUGCCUCUAAUACUGUUAGACUAGAGAGUAGUUGCGGUAGGCGGAAUGUAUGGUGUAGCGGUGAAAUGCUUAGAGAUCAUACAGAACACCGAUUGCGAAGGCAGCUUACCAAACUAUAUCUGACGUUGAGGCACGAAAGCGUGGGGAGCAAACAGGAUUAGAUA
rnacentral:rRNA from 1 species